AGACAAAUCAACCUUUAUUUCGAGGAGUUUUCACACGCCUCUCUCAGUAACUCCGAAAAGGAGAAGAAAAAAAUCCAGGAGCCUCCAGACGGCUGAGGAACUUGAGUCCUGCUCACCCAGUAGAUGCUGAGAGCACGGAGAGGAUCAGACCUCUGCCGGACGUGCCAGGCCGGGGGACUCCAAGGGCUGAGCACUUUUUGUAAAAAAGAAAAUGCUUAAUGCUCUUCUUGAAAGCCGCACGUUUCCUGACCUGACGUCGAAAUGACACUGUCACGUCCCGCUCUGAUCACCGCUCACGCCGUGACUCGCUGGCUCAGCUUGGCCACCCAGCAGCAGAGCGUGGACUCGGGAGCCAGCCCCGCCCUGGACACCAGCUCUGCCCAGGAAAACAGCCAAGCUGGCGGAGGAGAGGUGGGGGGAGCCAUCAGGGCCAGGUCGUCACAGCCAGCAGAGGUCAGAGCCGCCCGGUUGACCUGCAGACAGGUGGGAAACGACAGGUGGGAAACGACAGGUGGGUGGGUGAGUGGGGUUUCUAUGGGGAUGGCUUGUCACGCAGGUGUGGCGGCUGAGAGAGCCACUCACUUGUCCGGGACCGUGGGAGUCACGGCCCCCUCCCCUGUGAAGUGCAGGUAGCAGUGGCCUCCCGCUCCCAGGACGGUGACAAGGUGCAACAUGAGUAACGAAGAGCAGAGAGCGCUGCCAGCAGGAGAGUAGCUUCAUGAACAUCUGCUCUUGUCAUCACAGCCCUGGAGACUUUCCCGCCUCAGCCCUUUGCUUUUAAUUCCCCGCUGUUACCCGCAUGGAUGGAGGGUCCAUCCUUGGACGCAUGGCCCUCCCCUUUGGACAAAUCCCACGCAUGCUUUUGCGCC
rnacentral:lncRNA from 1 species